UAAGGAAUAUUGGUCAAUGGAGGCAACUCUGAACCAGCCAUGCCGCGUGCAGGAAGAAGGCCCUAUGGGUCGUAAACUGCUUUUGAACAAGAGAAAACCCCGGUACGUGUACUGGGUUGAUAGUAUUGUUAGAAUAAGCAUCGGCUAACUUCGUGCCAGCAGCCGCGGUAAGACGAAGGAUGCAAGCGUUAUCCGGAUUCAUUGGGUUUAAAGGGUGCGUAGGCGGACUGAUAAGUCAGUGGUGAAAUCUCUCGGCUUAACCGAGAAACUGCCAUUGAUACUGUACGGCUUGAAUUAGGAUGAGGUUGGCGGAAUGUGACAUGUAGCGGUGAAAUGCUUAGAUAUGCCAUAGAACACCAAUUGCGAAGGCAGUUCACUAAGUCGUAACUGACACUGAUGCACGAAAGUGUGGGGAGCAAACAGGAUUAGAUACCCACGUAGUCCCUGAGCGGGCUGGCAAGGCGCAU
rnacentral:rRNA from 1 species